AAGAAAGAAAGAAAGAAAGAAAGAAAGAAAGAAAGAAAGAAAGAGAGAGAAAGAGAGAAAGAAAUGACCAUGAACCCUAAGAGGCUCUUGGCACCUUGGUGGCUGAGAAAUGAAUCUGUCUCUCCAAUCCAACACUACAGAACCAACGCUACAACUCAGUCAGAAGACUGCCUGCCUCACAUGCAGGAGGCCCUAGGUUUGAUCCCCCACAGCACCCCAGAAACCUGUAAUCCCAGCAUUGGAGGGGGGUACCUAGGGGAUGGAAGCAAGAGAAUUAGAUUUUCAAGGUCACUCUCAGUUGCUCACAGAGUUAGAGGCCAGCCUGGGAUGCAUAUGAUCCUGCUCCAGAAAUAAAGUCAAUGUGUAAAUCUAGAAGUAGGCUGUGCUUCCAGGAGGGGGCUGCUCCUGAGAGUCUCUGUGUGAGCGGGGCUGUUAUGGUGACUCAUUGUUCCGCACACAAGGAUGACUUAGAAUCUAACUUUUCUGCCUUGUACAGUCCCAAGCACUGUGGUUGCAGGUGAGGGCUUAUUUUGGCCCAAGGCACUGGCCACCAGUAGAGUGCUGCUACAGUCAAUACUGUCCUUGGAGCAGAUCAUUCCUGUCAGCACCUCAGCUCAGAUAGGCCCUAUUGUUCUCUUUUCCUCCAAAGACUCAUCAUGGGAGCCUUCUGGGUGGUCCUCAUGGUCCUGAAGUAUGAUGCUGUCCCAGUUGUGACUGGCCUGUUGGUGUGAUUGUUUCUGCCACAAGCUCUACCUACCAAGCAUCUCUCUGCUUCUGUAGCGACCUCCCCUCUCUCUUACUCUUUCACAUUAGACACUGGUGACAACGCACAAGGCAUCCCUAGGAAUCCUGUCUUAGUUGUGCCCCAGAUUCACAUUCAACUAGCCUCUGAAGUUUAAAGACCAGACACUUCUCAGUACACCUGUCUGCAUCUUCACAACUUGGUUUGUUUGUUCAAAAUACAAGAAACACAUGUACACCUCCCACCAAAGGGGAGCUAGAGCAAAAGCAAACCCCACCCCCAGUGGCACCACCCAGGCCCCUGAAUGGCGAUUGUCUUCUUCCCAGGACAGAUCCUUGCCUUAGUCUUCAGCAUCUCACCGCCGUCAGCAAGCUCUAGGGCUGCUGUUUGUACAGUGAAUUUCAUGGAAUCGCAUCAGUACAUUAAGAACCAAAAUCCAAAUGCCGUUUGCUUCUCGUUUAGGAAAAACUCACAGAGUCACUGCGGUCAUGGUGUCUCUUUACAACAGUCAAACACUGACUAAGACAACAAGGAAACCUGUAGGUGAGUUGCCCCAAACUACACUGCACACUACCACACCUGGCUCUUCUAUGGCUGUUGGGAACUGAACUCGGGUCCUGAUGCUUACACACGAAGCCUUUCUUACUAAGCCAGACCCCGGCCUCUUCUUUUCACUUCUUAAAAGUUUCUGUUUUCUGGUUUCAGAGCUCAUAGUCACUAGGGCAAUCAGGCACACUGUCUCAACAGCUCAAGAAGACUAGGGUAACUAGCACAAGCAGGUGGCCUCAAGGCCACCCCCAUUGGGUGUGAGUGCACAGCACACCUCUUCAGGGAGAGCCAUCUUAGCAAUGGCUUACAUCCCAUGUUGUUACAUCCAUGCUCCCUUGGCAAUACCCACUUGGCUUUCAUGGGGUGUGGAGUUAAUUUAUUCAACAGGGGAGCCGGCUCUUCCAUCUGUUCGCCAUCUCCCCAGGUUUCUCUGAGUGUGAGAUAGAUGGUCAAGGACUAAUUGGCAGAGCUGUGAUCUCUCUGCUAUGUAGCACCCAGCAUGGGGACUCAGGAGAUUGGCCGUGUGUGUGUGUGUGUGUGUGUAUGUGUGUGUGUGUGUGUGUGUGUGUGUGUGUGUGUGUGUGUGUGUGUGUGUGUAUGUGUGUGUGUGUGUGUUUGGCAGCAGUCAUCCAUCGACAGCUGAGGGAAAUUAGGCUAUCGGUGCCUUCUUUGAGCUAGGCAACAUGGAUGGAAAUGUAGCCUUCCAAACACAACAGAAAAAAAAAAAAAAAGGCAGGGUAACACAAAGCUGUCAGUUGGAGAUCAGAUUCUCUGAGGAGAAGGUGGGCCUAGCUGGAACAAAUGGGACUCACUGAGUGACACCUAAGUCAGGGCCACAUUAAUCUAUGCUUCAGUCUACUUACUGUUCCCUCAGCACAGGAAGCAGCAGAAAACCAGGAGGCAAAUGGCUUGAGCCUUGCCUCCCACGCCCUACCCCUCUCUCUCUGGGUACUCUUUUCUUUCCUCUGCCUGGUGUAUAUCCUGAACACACCAUUCAAUUCCAGUUGAACUUGUAGUUAGAUCAGACCAAUAGUUGGCUAACUUGCCAACAGGGACAUAGCCCAGUAGGCUGGAAGUUCUCUAGAGGCCUUGAGGUUGGACAGGUCUAGGCAAGGCCCUUGGAAGUCAGGAGGUUUCUUUCACCCAAGUGCAAAGAAAGGUGUGUCAUCAUUAAAGCCACACGUUGCUUUUUACUGUUAGCAGGGGACAUAGGACUAAUGACUGACUGGAAGCUGGUCCCUUUGCUGCCCAUCUCCUAGUUAGUGCUCUCCACACAGGCGCUGUUGCAAAGGCUCAGGAGAGCACCUCUGGUACCUUGCUCCCUCCACUAACAGUUGCAAGACCAAGAAAGUCUGAAGACAAAAGUGCUUCCCAGCAACGAUUCUUCAGAAGAGUGUCUUACUAUUUCUAAACAAAAGGUUUCUGUACCAUUGAGCCAUCAACAAAUGGCCACAACCCAGCAUCUCUUCAAACUGGGAACCAACGAGCCUUCUGGUUCCUUGCUUUGCUUUUUGGGGGAGGAGGAAGAAGUCAUUUGGUUGUUUGGUUAGUUGGUUUGAUUUGGUUUGGUUUGGGGUUGGUUGGUUUGGUUUGGUUUGGUUUGGUUUGGUUUGGUUUGGUUUGGUUUGGUUUUGCAAAGUCUUACCAAAUAGCCAAGUAGCCCAAGCUAGCCCUAUGCUUGUGGCGGGCCUUACCUCAGUUUUCACAGAGCUGAGAUCGCAGGUUCCUGCCACCAUGCCUGGUGUGCAGCUUUAUUUUGAGGAGAGCAUCUGCAUAAAGAUUCUCUGGGCCCUCAAAGACUGCUCUAGUUUUUAAAUUAGUAAUUUGCCUGGAACUAUUGCUUUCACAUUUCAGGAAAUGAAUACCCUCCCACUUAAAGUUCGAUUCUUUUUUUUUCCACCGUUCUGAGCUGCCUGAGUGCUGGUCUUACGGCCUGGAUUCAGUCACCAUGUGUGAGUGUGGCAUGGAUCCAUUUAAUGAGUGAAGUCAUGAUUGGAGGCUGAGUCAGAACUUUAAACGGCACACUGGAGCCCAAAGUCAGGGUGUCCUGUGAAAGUGGACCCAGGGCACCUCUCCAGAGGCAAGGGUUGGGAAGUGGUGGAGCUGAGAGCAAGCAAACAGAAACAGACCCACCGGCAAAGCCGACA